GAUGAACGCUGGCGGCGUGCCUAAUACAUGCAAGUCGAGCGAACAGACGAGGAGCUUGCUCCUCUGACGUUAGCGGCGGACGGGUGAGUAACACGUGGAUAACCUACCUAUAAGACUGGGAUAACUUCGGGAAACCGGAGCUAAUACCGGAUAAUAUAUUGAACCGCAUGGUUCAAUAGUGAAAGACGGUUUUGCUGUCACUUAUAGAUGGAUCCGCGCCGCAUUAGCUAGUUGGUAAGGUAACGGCUUACCAAGGCGACGAUGCGUAGCCGACCUGAGGGGGGGGUGCCCGCCUGAGAGAGUGACCGGGGACCCAGGCACCGAGGGAAGGCACCGGUGGGUAAUCUUGCGAACUGGGGGAAAGCCUGCAGGACCAACGCACGCUGGAUAAAGAAGCGCCGCGGUUGGGAAAACGGUUUUUGUGGGGAAAAACAAUUGUAGAAAUAACGAAGCCGGUGUGAAGGUAGCUAAAGAAGAAGCCCCGGCCAAAUACGGG
rnacentral:rRNA from 1 species